rnacentral:rRNA from 1 species
GACGAACGCUGGCGGCGUGCCUAAUACAUGCAAGUUGAGCGAUGAAGAUUGGUGCUUGCACCAAUUUGAAGAGCAGCGGACGGGUGAGUAACGCGUGGGGAAUCUGCCUUUGAGCGGGGGACAACAUUUGGAAACGAAUGCUAAUACCGCAUAAUAACUUUAAACAUAAGUUUUAAGUUUGAAAGAUGCAAUUGCAUCACUCAAAGAUGAUCCCGCGUUGUAUUAGCUAGUUGGUGAGGUAAAGGCUCACCAAGGCGAUGAUACAUAGCCGACCUGAGAGGGUGAUCGGCCACAUUGGGACUGAGACACGGCCCAAACUCCUCAGGGAGGCAGCAGUAGGGAAUCUUCGGCAAUGGACGAAAGUCUGACCGAGCAACGCCGCGUGAGUGAAGAAGGGUUUCGGAUCGUAAAAAUCUGUUGGUAGAGAAGAACGUUGGUGAGAGUGGAAAGCUCAUCAAGUGACGGUAACUACCCAGAAAGGGACGGCUAACUACGUG